AGGGACCAAACCAUCUUGAUGAUUAGGUCAACUCUUAACCUAAUCGGGUCAAACCCAACUGAAUACAAUUCAAUUGGACUUGAUCCAAAAAUAAUUACUCAAUCAAAUUGAGUUAAUUAAUGAUCAAAUCACUAAUUAAAUCUCUCAUAAAUACUGAAUCCAAAUUCGAUGGGCAAUCGAGCAUCAGAAUUCAUCGAUAUGUAACCCUGAUCGAAAAGUCCCAACCAGUGGGACUCUUGACCUCGAUACCCAUAAUGUGUGGAACUCGUGAUCAGAGAAUCCUGAUUCUCGAUCACCGAGUCCCAAACAUGUAGGAUUGUACAUCAGCCAUCAGAGCAGAUAGGAACCUCUAAUGUGUGUGACCCCGUAGGUUCGAACCUAAGCCGGUAGCACAGGAACCAAUUCCUAUACUAAUCGAAGUGACCAUCUAGCAAUGGUACCCGAUAUCCAGAUAGAUCGAAGAGUCGCAAUCGCAACACUCAAAACCUACAUGAAUAUGGUUACUGUAUAAUUCAUCCUUUUGACUCCUGUGUUUAGGAUGACUCAAGGUUAAACUGUCAACCCU
rnacentral:lncRNA from 1 species